GACGAACGCUGGCGGCGUGCUUAACACAUGCAAGUCGAACGGAAAGGCCCUGCUUUUGUGGGGUGCUCGAGUGGCGAACGGGUGAGUAACACGUGAGUAACCUGCCCUUGACUUUGGGAUAACUUCAGGAAACUGGGGCUAAUACCGGAUAGGAGCUCCUGCUGCAUGGUGGGGGUUGGAAAGUUUCGGCGGUUGGGGAUGGAUUCGCGGCUUAUCAGCUUGUUGGUGGGGUAGUGGCUUACCAAGGCUUUGACGGGUAGCCGGCCUGAGAGGGUGACCGGCCACAUUGGGACUGAGAUACGGACCAGACUCCUACGGGAGGCAGCAGUGGGGAAUAUUGCACAAUGAGCGGAAGCCUGAUGAAGAAACGCCGCGGGCGGGAUGACGGCCUUCGGGUUGUAAACCGCUUUAGCCUGUGACGAAGCGUGAGUGACGGUAAUGGGUAAAGAAGCACCGGCUAACUACGUG
rnacentral:rRNA from 1 species